CCAGUUUGUCGCGCACUUUAGUGCUUAUGUAAGCGGCAGAUCGACAUCAAGCCGGAUGUUCCACAUUUUAGCCCAGUCUCCAGAGCUAGAACAUUGGGCGUGAUUUCGACGGACCUGACUACAGAGGAGCCACCGCCAACAGCAGGACAGAUGUCCGGAGUUAUGCUGUGUUAAUUUGCACAUUUUCUGGGACUAAGUUCAAUAUGCCAUUUUAAGGCCAAUUCUCUGGCGGUUACGUAUAUGUAUAUUCAAGCAUCGGGAAUCAUGAGUGUUUGUAGAAAAGAGUGGGUUGAAAUAAUUAAUUGAAAUUAUCAAAUCGUACUUGCAGGUACAUUCGUGUGCAUAUAUUGUUAAAACUUUAUAUUUUUCCCCAGAUACCAGCACCUACGUCAUCCUUGAGCUCAAC
rnacentral:lncRNA from 1 species